rnacentral:tRNA from 2 species
GCACCCAUAGCUCAGCUGGAUAGAGCACCAGACUACGAAUCUGGGGGUCGGACGUUCGAAUCGUUCUGGGUGCGCCA